UACAGCAUGAGACCACGAGUUCGAAAGGGCUUGAGGUCAAAGUCGGCCUCUCUUCAGAAGCUGACGCCAGGGACGGGGCCUGCGGCCCAUCAGGUAGUUGGUAGGGUAAUGGCCUACCAAGCCUAAGACGGUAGCUGGUCUGAGAGGAUGAUCAGCCACACUGGAACUGAGACACGGGUCCCAGACUCCUACGGGAGGCAGCAUGGGGGAAUCUUGCGCAAUGGGCGAAAGCCUGACGCAGCGACGCCGCGUGAGUGAUGAAGGCCUUCGGGGUUGUAAAAGCUCUGUGGGGAGAGACGAAUAAGGCAUGGCUAAUAUCCAUGUUGAUGACGGUAUCUCCUUAGCAAGCACCGGCUAACUCUGUGCCAGCAGCCGCGGUAAGACAGAGGGUGCAAACGUUGUUCGGAAUUACUGGGC
rnacentral:rRNA from 1 species